rnacentral:rRNA from 1 species
GACGAACGCUGGCGGCGUGCCUAAUACAUGCAAGUAGAACGCUGAAGAGAGGAGCUUGCUCUUCUUGGAUGAGUUGCGAACGGGUGAGUAACGCGUAGGUAACCUGCCUUGUAGCGGGGGAUAACUAUUGGAAACGAUAGCUAAUACCGCAUAACAAUGGAUGACACAUGUCAUUUAUUUGAAAGGGGCAAUUGUUCCACUACAAGAUGGACCUGCGUUGUAUUAGCUAGUAGGUGAGGUAAUGGCUCACCUAGGCGACGAUACAUAGCCGACCUGAGAGGGUGAUCGGCCACACUGGGACUGAGACACGGCCCAGACUCCUACGGGAGGCAGCAGUAGGGAAUCUUCGGCAAUGGGGGCAACCCUGACCGAGCAACGCCGCGUGAGUGAAGAAGGUUUUCGGAUCGUAAAGCUCUGUUGUAAGUCAAGAACGGGUGUGAGAGUGGAAAGUUCACACUGUGACGGUAGCUUACCAGAAAGGGACGGCUAACUACGUGCCAGCAGCCGCGGUAAUACGUANGUCCCGAGCGUUGUCCGGAUUUAUUGGGCGUAAAGCGAGCGCAGGCGGUUUGAUAAGUCUGAAGUUAAAGGCUGUGGCUCAACCAUAGUUCGCUUUGGAAACUGUCAAACUUGAGUGCAGAAGGGGAGAGUGGAAUUCCAUGUGUAGCGGUGAAAUGCGUAGAUAUAUGGAGGAACACCGGUGGCGAAAGCGGCUCUCUGGUCUGUAACUGACGCUGAGGCUCGAAAGCGUGGGGAGCGAACAGGAUUAGAUACCCUGGUAGUCCACGCCGUAAACGAUGAGUGCUAGGUGUUGGAUCCUUUCCGGGAUUCAGUGCCGCAGCUAACGCAUUAAGCACUCCGCCUGGGGAGUACGACCGCAAGGUUGAAACUCAAAGGAAUUGACGGGGGCCCGCACAAGCGGUGGAGCAUGUGGUUUAAUUCGAAGCAACGCGAAGAACCUUACCAGGUCUUGACAUCCCGAUGCUAUUUCUAGAGAUAGAAAGUUACUUCGGUACAUCGGUGACAGGUGGUGCAUGGUUGUCGUCAGCUCGUGUCGUGAGAUGUUGGGUUAAGUCCCGCAACGAGCGCAACCCCUAUUGUUAGUUGCCAUCAUUCAGUUGGGCACUCUAGCGAGACUGCCGGUAAUAAACCAGAGGAAGGUGGGGAUGACGUCAAAUCAUCAUGCCCCUUAUGACCUGGGCUACACACGUGCUACAAUGGUUGGUACAACGAGUUGCGAGUCGGUGACGGCGAGCUAAUCUCUUAAAGCCAAUCUCAGUUCGGAUUGUAGGCUGCAACUCGCCUACAUGAAGUCGGAAUCGCUAGUAAUCGCGGAUCAGCACGCCGCGGUGAAUACGUUCCCGGGCCU